rnacentral:lncRNA from 1 species
AUUGGUCUAUUUAAAAAGUUAAAUAUCUAAUAUACAGCCUAAGAGUUAAUUGGUUCCGACAAUUCAAAAAAUGGUGAAUGAAAAACAACAGAAAAUUGUACAGAAUUUUCCCAAAGAUUUGAUUCCACUUUGGCCAAAAAAAUUAAUUGGGAUUCGUGUCUGACUUGGGAUCUUUCCUCACAUCCUCUGUGCACUGUUUAUUUGCUCAUCGUCUCACCAAGAUGUCUAACUUUUAAGAGUCUGAAGAGGAUACUGAUCCAGAAAGAGACUCCACUGCUAGAAUGAAUGAGGUGUGCUGAAAGCCAGAGCAUAACAUGGCCAUUCCAAGACGGAACAACCAACUACCCACCCACCA